rnacentral:rRNA from 1 species
GACGUAGGGGGCAAGCGUUGGUCCGGAUUUAUUGGGCGUAAAGAGCGUGUAGGCGGCCAGGUAGGUCUGCUGUGAAAACUCGAGGCUUAACCUCGAGCUGUCGGCGGAAACCAUCUGGCUAGAGUCCGGAAGAGGAGAAUGGAAUUCCCGGUGUAGCGGUGAAAUGCGCAGAUAUCGGGAAGAACACCCGUGGCGAAGGCGGUUCUCUGGGACGGUACUGACGCUGAGACGCGAAAGCGUGGGGAGCGAACAGG